UAUAAUGCAGUCGAGCGCAGGAAGCCGUCUGAANCCNUCGGGGGGACCAANGNGGAAUGAGCGGNGGAANGGUGAAUUACACGUAAAGAACCCGGCCAUAGGUCUGGGAAAACCACGAAAAAUCGGGGCUUAUACCGGAAGUGUCAUCNGCACGCAUGGUCCGCUGAUGAAAGGCGCCUCCGCGUCGCCCAUGGAUGGCUUUGCGGUGGAUUAGCUAGUUGGGGGGGUAACCGCCCACCAAGGGGACGAAGCAUAGCCGAACUGAGAGGGUGGUCGGCCACACUGGGACUGAAACACGGCCCAGACUCCUACGGGAGGGAGCAGUANGGAAUUUUCCACAAUGGACGAAAGUCUGAUGGAGCAACCCCGCGUGAACGAUGAAGGCUUUC
rnacentral:rRNA from 1 species